rnacentral:rRNA from 1 species
UGCGUAGGCGGAUUAAUAAGUCAGUGGUGAAAUCUCUCGGCUCAACCGAGAAACUGCCAUUGAAACUGAUAGCCUUGAGUGUAGUUGUAGUAGGCGGAAUAUAGCAUGUAGCGGUGAAAUGCUUAGAUAUGCUAUAGAACACCGAUCGCGAAGGCAGCUUACUAAACUAUUACUGACGCUCAUGCACGAAAGCGUGGGGAGCAAACAGGAUUAGAUACCCUGGUAGUCC